GACGAACGCUGGCGGCGUGCUUAACACAUGCAAGUCGAGCGGAGCGGCGGACGGGUGAGUAAUGUAUGGGGAUCUGCCCGAUAGAGGGGGAUAACUACUGGAAACGGUGGCUAAUACCGCAUACUGUCGGAUGAACCCAUAUGGGAUUAGCUAGUUGGUGGGGUAAAGGCCUACCAAGGCGACGAUCCGUAACUGGUCUGAGAGGAUGAUCAGUCACACUGGAACUGAGACACGGUCCAGACUCCUACGGGAGGCAGCAGUGGGGAAUAUUGGACAAUGGGCGAAAGCCUGAUCCAGCCAUGCCGCGUGUGUGAAGAAGGUCUUCGGAUUGUAAAGCACUUUAAGUUGGGAGGCGUUACCAACAGAAUAAGCACCGGCUAACUUCGUGCCAGCCGCCGCGGUAAUAC
rnacentral:rRNA from 1 species